GUGUAGAUGAGACGCUGCGUUUUCAUUUAGUGUUCUUCUUUGGCUCUCCAGAGCUCAUGGCGAUUAGGGUUUCGCUCGCGGUCUUUCAUCUUCUUCCUCACAGUACCAGAGGAAACCAGUUGCCGAAUAAUCCUCUUUAAACCUUCCAUUAAUAUAUCACCCAUGAUCUACACUGAAUGCGAAUUCUGAUUUUGAAGGGUAGUGGAUCUUCACGUAUAAAAAGAGAAGACUUCACCAUGCCUCAGUCAAUAGAAACUUCUAUUCUUUGAUUCCAUGGCUCAGUCAUCUAUCAUGCUCGCUGAUUUGAAGGCCCGCCCGCGUUCUUCCAUUCUGAGGUUUGGGGAAGCAAGAAACGUGAAAAGACGUGGGAGAUGAUGGACCUAGAUAUGUUCAUCCUUGACGCUCAGGCAACCUUCACACCAGCCACCGUCAGCGUCCACCGUCUCACACUUACCGGCAUCUUUUUAAGGCGGGCUCAAUGUACUCCUUAGGCGGUUUUGAUGUGACUGGCUGCAAUCAGAAUUACAGGCUCUUUGACUCACCUCGGCUGUUUCGGUUUAGUGAUUCAACCGAAUUUGAAGAGCUCAUGGGAGUGGAUAUGCUCUUACUGGAUUCACAGAGCGAGAUGGAGCAAGCGGCGGAGAGCGACGAAGCACUCGGUGGCGAGGAACGGAAAAAGUAGCGGAGAGCGACGGAAAAAGUAGCGGAGAGAGACGGAACUAGCGGUCUCGAGCUGAUGGAACAAGUGACGGAGAGUGUGACGGGAGAUAGGAAAGGCAAAUGGCGCAGUGGAGGUUGAUAGGCUCUCAGACAGGAGGGAUAAAAGUAGCUGUGGAGGAGUCUAACAUGACUACAUAUCUUCUUAUGAGGCUGUUGCUCAAUAUCGAUGGCCUCAAAACAGCAGGGAAAGCUAGAGUAUAAUGAUAAUGCAGAGGUUAGUGUUUCAUCUCCGGCUUUUUUCAUCUGUCUGCAUCAUAAUCUAUGUUUUCACGAUAAUAAUGUCACCAACAGUGGUGAACGAUAUGCAUCAGGUACUUAUUACUAAUGAGUUAUGAGACUUUCAGAUGAGUUGCAGUGAUAUGAUUGGUUACUUUGGUAGAUAUACAUUGCGAUUUUCUUUUCCAUAGCAAAUAAGAGUUUUCCAGGUCACAGGGCAGGCAACAACAAAAGUUAAUGCGUGUAAAAGAAGGAACAUGUAAUGGAUCGAUCAAGAUAUUAUUCAUUUUUUAA